rnacentral:lncRNA from 1 species
AUGAAUGGUUUAACAGAGAUGUCCAGGUCAUCACUUGCCCCUUCUACCCUGGUGCCCUACCCUGUUCAGUUUCCGGCUGCCUUGAACUAUGCCCCUUAUUCCACCAUCUGCUUCCACUAUGAUGUUUUCUUUUUCUUUUUGUUGCAGGUUCUUUGCAAAGCGAUUGUGAAGAGGACUGGAAGCACACGGGGCACAAAGAAUCAAGGACCAAGGAAGCGAGGGAAGCGCCUCCCUGUACCACCAGUGCUUUACAAAAUACCAACAAGCAGAACGUAG